rnacentral:rRNA from 1 species
UACGGAGGGGGCGAGCGUUAUUCGGAAUUAUUGGGCGUAAAGGGCGCGUAGGCGGCUUCUUAAGUCAAAGGUGAAAUCCCUCGGCUCAACUGAGGAACUGCCUUUGAAACUGGGGAGCUUGAGUCCGGGAGGGGGUAGCGGAAUUCCCAGUGUAGCGGUGAAAUGCGUAGAUAUUGGGAGGAACACCAGUGGCGAAGGCGGCUACCUGGACCGGAACUGACGCUGAUGCGUGAAAGCGUGGGUAGCAAACAGG